rnacentral:rRNA from 1 species
AUUGAACGCUAGCGGCAUGCCUAACACAUGCAAGUCGAGCGGACGGGGGACGGGUGAGUAAUGUAUGGGGCUCUGCGCGAUGGAUGGGUAUAACUACGGGAAACGGUGGCUAAUACCGCAUACUAUCGGAUGAACCCAUAUGGGAUUAGCUAGUAGGUGGGGUAAAGGCUCACCUAGGCGACGAUCUCUAGCUGGUCUGAGAGGAUGAUCAGCCACACUGGGACUGAGACACGGCCCAGACUCCUACGGGAGGCAGCAGUGGGGAAUAUUGCACAAUGGGCGAAAGCCUGAUGCAGCCAUGCCGCGUGUACGAAGAAGGCCUUCGGGUUGUAAAGUACUUUUAGCGGGGAGGCGGUACCUGCAGAAGAAGCACCGGCUAACUCCGUGCCAGCAGCCGCGGUAAUUC